CUCUCUCUCUCUCUCUCUCUCUCUCUCUCUCUCGGGUUUUUUUUUUUUUUGAGGAAAGAGAAUAAAAAAGACAAACACAGGAAGCAGAGACAAGGAGAAAUGUCGGAAGCAAAAGACCCUGCGAUCAAGCUCUUGGGGAAGACGAUCCCGGUGCCCUGAGAUCUCAAACAACAGAGUUGGAGAAGAGCGAGCGGCUGGCAAGUGGCUAGAAACCAUCCUUUCCACUGCCUUGAGAAAAAAAAUAUGGUGAAGAAAGACAACUCAGUUCAAAAGUGGGUCUUCAGAGUUCCCAACCCAUUACUCUUUGUACUGGAACCUUUUCUGAUCCUGUGAUUGUGUUACGCAUUGGCAUUCCUCCAAUCCGGUGGAUUUUUGUACCUGAUUAUUUUUUCUGGUUUAAUAUAAUUCUUUUAUGGGCUCGUAUUAAGAAGAUUAUGCAAGCUGAUGAGGAUGUUGGGAAGAUUUCCAUGGCUGUGUCUCUUCUAGUCUACACGAUCAAGUCAUCAUCCUCCUGAAGAACCACAGCAGUUGCUGGUACUACAACAGCGAGAAGAACAGCUGCAAGGGAAUGAAGACUUUGAUCAGGAACUGGAACGGCUACCAUCAGAACCAUACUGUCAAGGGCAUCUGUAGGAGCUUCAUAAAAGCUUGGUUCCUCCAUUCUUGAGCAAAAUUGAUGGGCAGGGAUAAUUUCUUAGUAUUGUCAAAGCCAUUCUUAUUUCACUUUGAUACAAAAAGCACCUACUUCUACUUUUGUUCCAGGAAAGGAAGAAUGUACAUGGUUGCCUAGGGAUGGGUUCUAGUUUGUGAUAUGGAGGGGAGAGAGCAGCGACCCCCCCUCCCACGCGGGUUCUAGUGUGUGGUUGAGAUUUGAGAUUUACUUCCGUGUGGGGUUCCACAACUGCAAGGGGAUGAAGACUUUGAUCAUGAACUGGAACGGCUACUAUCAGAACCAUAAUGUCAAGGGCAUCUGUAGGAGAUUCAUAAAAGCUUGGUUCCUCCAUGAGCAAAGUUGAGGGGCAGGGAUAAUUUCUUAGGAUUGUCCAAACCAUUCUUAGGAUGGUUUCAAUCUGCUUUCUUCCGCUUUUUCAUUCGUUUUUUGGUAUUUUUUUUUUUAAUAAAUAGCGACUGACGUGAUGCCAUGUCAGCCGACUCCAUCCCAUUUACAUUUACCGACUGUGUAUAGAACUAUUGAUUUGAUGCUCUUGAUCUUGUU